rnacentral:sRNA from 1 species
AGGUGGGCAGGACAGGUACAGCACAGGCAGUAACAGUGAGAGCUUUCCCUACGCCUCCCUGUCCACGUGCCAGAACCCUGACCUGGGGACCACCUCUAGACGCCU